UACGGAGGAUGCAAGCGUUAUCCGGAAUGAUUGGGCGUAAAGCGUCCGCAGGUGGCAAUGUAAGUCUGCUGUUAAAGAGUCUAGCUCAACUAGAUAAAAGCAGUGGAAACUACAUAGCUAGAGUACGUUCGGGGCAGAGGGAAUUCCUGGUGUAGCGGUGAAAUGCGUAGAUAUUGGGAAGAACACCGGUGGCGAAAGCGCCUUGCUGGGUCUGCACUGACACUGAGGGACGAAAGCUAGGGGAGCGAAAGGG
rnacentral:rRNA from 1 species